UUUGCUUGUUGAUAAAAGCUAAAGUACCUACUCGUUUAUCAUUUUUUUUUCACAUUCAGAAGAAAUUCUUAUCAUUUUCGAAAAGUACGUUCCAACGGUCAACCAUGUGACAUAAGUGAUAAUUUAAUCACGUAUUCGACUUGAAAAGUUGAAAAUUACUUAUUUUUGUACAUAAGUAUACCUUUACUUACCUAUACUCGGUGUAAACCAAAUCGUGUGUUUGCAAAAUAUCUUUGAUUUUUUAAAAGUUAAAACUGCAUUAUUGGUUUAAAAGUUGUUUCGAUGUGUUUGGUGAAUAAUAAAUAAGUAAUAUUAUGUUUCGAUUCUGCGGUUGCUUAGUUUUGAUUGUAAAGUUUGUACGUUUGUAGUGUUUGACAUCGACAGUCGUUUGAUUCGAUCUGAAUAGAAUGAAUGAAUCGUUAUUGCAGAAAGUGAUUUUUCCGCUGACAAUUUUAUUUAUUUGUUUUACGUCAAUGAUAGGUGGAUUGGUUUGCAAUCCACCUUACCAGCUGAACUCUCUUAAGGAAUCCGGAAUCCUAUGCCCUGAACCUCCAAUUAUUGUUGGUAGUCCUGAUUUUCCUUUUAUAGCUUUGUGACCGCGAUUCUACUGAAGUGAAGCGAAUGUUUAAUUUCGAAUAAUUUAUUCAGAGAUUUUAUUUUAAAAUGAUUGCCUCCGUGUGUAAAUUUUAUUGCUUUUAUUUUUUAUACUUUGUUAUAUUUUAUAUUUUUCUAUUCAUUGUAUUUUCAUUAUUUGUAAACACGAUGUCUUUGAUUAUUAAUUAAUUCAAUAUGCGGAUACGAAA